rnacentral:tRNA from 1 species
GGCUGGAUAGUAUAACGGAAUGAUCGCCGAGGUCAAAGCAAGCAGUAUCUAUUCGAAAAAGGGUGUUUGGCCGUCGGAGAUGCGGGUUCGAAUCCCGCUCCAGCCA